rnacentral:rRNA from 1 species
GGAGUUUUCGGCAAUGGGCGAAAGCCUGACCGAGCAACGCCGCGUGAGUGAUGAAGGUCUUCGGAUUGUAAAGCUCUGUUGCGAGGGACGAAACGCACGAUCAGGAAAUGGGUCGUGUUCGACGGUACCUCGCCAGAAAGUGACGGCUAACUACGUGCCAGCAGCCGCGGUAAUACGUAGGUCACGAGCGUUAUCCGGAAUUAUUGGGCGUAAAGAGUGAGCAGGCGGCAUGGCAAGUCUGAGGUGAAAGCGUGGGGCUCAACCCCAUACAGCCUUAGAAACUACCAAGCUAGAGUGCGUGAGAGGUAAACGGAACUCCAUGUGUAGCGGUGAAAUGCGUAGAUAUAUGGAAGAACACCAGUGGCGAAGGCGGUUUACCAGCACUGCACUGACGCUCAGUCACGAAAGCGUGGGGAGCAAAUA